AGAGUUUGAUUAUGGCUCAGGAUGAACGCUAGCUACAGGCUUAACACAUGCAAGUCGAGGGGCAGCAUGGUCUUAGCUUGCUAAGGCCGAUGGCGACCGGCGCACGGGUGAGUAACGCGUAUCCAACCUUCCCCCCAGUAGAGGAUAGCCCGGCGAAAGUCGGAUUAAUACUCUAUGUUCUUCGUGGAUGGCAUCUGAAAUGAAGCAAAGGUUCACCGCUAGGGGAUGGGGAUGCGUCUGAUUAGGUAGUCGGCGGGGUAACGGCCCACCGAGCCUUCGAUCAGUAGGGGUUCUGAGAGGAAGGUCCCCCACAUUGGAACUGAGACACGGUCCAAACUCCUACGGGAGGCAGCAGUGAGGAAUAUUGGUCAAUGGGCGAUAGCCUGAACCAGCCAAGUAGCGUGCAGGAAGACGGCCCUACGGGUUGUAAACUGCUUUUAUGCGGGGAUAAAGUAGCCCACGUGUGGGUUUUUGCAGGUACCGCAUGAAUAAGGACCGGCUAAUUCCGUGCCAGCAGCUGC
rnacentral:rRNA from 1 species